rnacentral:rRNA from 1 species
UACAGAGGGUGCAAGCGUUAUCCGGAAUUACUGGGUUUAAAGGGUGCGUCGGCGGUCCCAUAAGUCUGUCGUGAAAUGCAGCGGCUUAACCGUAUGAACUGCGAUGGAUACUGUGGGACUUGAAUAAGGUUGAGGCAGGCAGAAUGUGGCAUGUAGCGGUGAAAUGCUUAGAUAUGCCAUAGAACACCGAUUGCGAAGGCAGCUUGCCAAGCCUUUUAUUGACGCUGAGGCACGAAAGUGUGGGGAGCAAACAGGAUUAGAAACCC